rnacentral:rRNA from 1 species
AGCGAACGCUGGCGGCAUGCUUAACACAUGCGAGUCGCACGGGCAGCAAUGUCAGUGGCGGACGGGUGAGUAACGCGUAGGAACGUGUCCUGAGGUGGGGGACAACCCCGGGAAACUGGGGCUAAUACCGCAUAUGGGCUGAGGCCCAAAGCCGAGAGGCGCCUUUGGAGCGGCCUGCGUCCGAUUAGGUAGUUGGUGGGGUAAAGGCCUACCAAGCCUGCGAUCGGUAGCUGGUCUGAGAGGACGACCAGCCACACUGGGACUGAGACACGGCCCAGACUCCUACGGGAGGCAGCAGUGGGGAAUAUUGGACAAUGGGCGAAAGCCUGAUCCAGCAAUGCCGCGUGGGUGAAGAAGGUCUUCGGAUCGUAAAGCCCUUUCGACGGGGACGAUGAUGACGGUACCCGUAGAAGAAGCCCCGGCUAACUUCGUG